UCAUUUUCUCUUGCUGCUACCAUGGAAGAAGCGACUUUCGCCUCCCGCCGUGAUUCUGAGGCCUUUCCAGCCAUGUCAAACUCAAAAUGUGACUGAAAAACAGAAGCAUUUGGAAUACGUAACAGAAGUCAUUAAAAAGAGCCAUGUAAUAUGUGCCUGCUUCCCCUUCUGCCAUGAUUGUAAGUUUCCUGAUGCCUUCUCAGCCAUGCAGAACUGAGAUGUCCCAGUUUCUUAAUUCACGGAAUAAAAAAAAUCAAGCCAUCUUAUUCUGUCAUGAUACCCUUAUCUUCUUUCAGCCGUAUUACAAGUGUUUCCACAUAUUCCAAAUCCCCAUGGGGUGAAGGAAUAAAAGAAGAAAGUCACUCCAUAUAUUUCAGGAGUCUCACUCUAUUGCUCAGGCUGGAGUCAGUGGCGCAAUCUCAGCUCACUCCAACCUCCGCCUCAUGGGUUCAAAUGAUUCUCCUGCCUCAGCCUCCCAAGUAGAUGGGAUUACAGGCACAUGCCCCCAUGCCCAGCUAAUUUUUGUGUUUUUAGUAGAGACUAGGGUUUCACCAUGUUAGCCAGGCUGUUCUCAGACUCCUGACCUCAGGUGAUCCACCUGCCUCGGCCUUCCAAAGUGCUGGGAUUACAGGCAUGAGCCACUGCACCAAGCCUUAUUCUAUUGAUUAUUAUAAGAAGUGUUAACAUCUUGAACUAUGAUUAUAUAUUCAUCAAUUUAAGCAUAUACAUUUGAUUUUGUUAAGUCCUCCUGAAGAAGUCUGUUUAUAAUAUUAAAUAUCCUAGUUGAUCACUGUUUUAAAAUUUACUUUUUUAUAUAUUUUUUUUCACUUAAUGUAACUCUGAUCAAUGCUACUUCAGUAUGCCUGGAAGUGGAAAUUACAAUGUGGAUAUUUUUAAUGAGGAAAAAACUGGCUUUUAAUUUUCAAGUGAGUCUUAUGUACUCCCCCACAUAUUUAGACAUAUAUGUAUGUGUGCACGUGUGCCUAUAUAUACUUAUAUACUUCAUAUAUAUAUACACACACACAUAUAUGUGAAGAGAGAGAGAAUAUGUAUACACACAUACCACAUUUAGCAAGUUUUUAAGUACUUUAGGUGUCGAGCUGUGAAUGAGAAAAAAGAGCAGGGAAUUCAAAUAAAAAUAAUGUGGACUUAAUAUAAUUACUGGUAAUCUUAGAUUUUGUUUCUAUUUACUGUUGAAUUUUAGGUAAAAAUUCAGAAUAUCUUAGAAUAGCUCAUCAAAUUUCCAGUCCAUGAUAUAACCCAGCCCCAUCCCAUAGAACAUGAUACACUGAUUUUUACAUAUUAUAGUUCUUUUAUAUAUUUAGUGAGAAGCAUUAUUUAUCAAUUUUCUUUAAUGUCUUAUUGUAUUGUGUAUUAUAUAAAUAAUUCUAUCAGUAUAUUCCUGUUUAAAAAUGAUUUUUGUAAGGCUUCACUAAGUUGAAAUUUCCAGACAAAGAAAAAGUUGUACCGUCCCUUUUUUCCUUUAACGGAAUCAAGUAAAUCUGAAUGUGUUAGUGGUCUACAUUUCCACUGAGGAUAAUUGACAGACACUGAGGUCUCUCCUUUUAAGUAACUGUCAAAGAGUAUCCUAAGAGGCUCUAGGGAAUAUGGUAAGCGAUUGCUAAUGAUGUUUAUGUGUCUAAAUAUCAUCCUAACAAUGUAACACUCUCCCAUUAACAAAAUUGUUUCUACAAUUACCAUCAACAUUAUUCCAAUAAAUGUAAUCUUGUUAUUUCAUUAUGAAAGUGGUAUUUUGUAUUUCUUUAUAAACAUUAAUAUAAAAUGAUUUUUUCUUUCUUUAAGCCAUUCAUGUGUUCUACAUAAACUGAGAAAAUAUUCCCAAGGAUAAAUAUAAUUUGUGCUAAAUAAUCUACUAGG
rnacentral:lncRNA from 1 species